rnacentral:rRNA from 1 species
AAAAAUAAGAUAUAUAAAUUAUACUUAUUGAUUUGUUAAGAGGCUACUGUUGCAAAGCACGUACGCCUAAAACAAUCAAUGUAAGUAUGUAAAGGAAUUAUUAUGCAAUUCUAGCUAUGUAUUAAGGAGAGCAAAUUUGAUAUAAAAAGGAAUAUAAUAUAUUUCUAGUUAAUAAGCUCUAGAAGAAAUUUAAUAAUAAACGAAGUGAAGUGAAAUAUCUCAGUAACUUCAGGAAAAGAAAUCAAAAGAGAUUCUAUGAAUAGCGUGAGCAAAAGUAGAUAAGUCUAUUAAGUAAAAUGGUUUAUAAACUGUUUGAAUGGGGAACCUUCCUCAAAGACUAAAUAUGAUACAUAAGCGAUAGAUGAUGGGCCGUGAGGUAAUUGGAAGUUAGUAGUAAUUUUAUAAGCAGUUCGAAUAGACUUAAUUUAAGUUAAAGAACGUACCUUUUGCAUAAUGGGUCACCAAGUUAACAUUAGAUGCGAGAAAAUUUCGUAGUUAAACCAAACGUUAAAAUAACGAUAAGUGUCUAAAGUUAGACCCGAAGCCUAGUGAUUUUACUAUGAUCAGGAUUAUAAAAGUCCGAACGGGUGAUUGUGGCAAAAAUCUCCGAAGAAUCGUGGUAGGUAUAGUGAAAGACAAUACUGACUAGGAUAGCUGGUUUUCUGCGAAACCUAUAACAGUAGGCAAUUUAAGUAAAUAUCUUAGCAGGUACAGAAUUUAAUCUCAGGCAAUAUAAUGUUGCGCAAAUUGGGGAAUCGUGAAGAUUUUAUCAGUGAGUAUGUAGACUCGGAAUGGCAAAGAUAUAUCUUGAAUAAUCAGACAUAGAAUGAUAAGGUUGUAUGUCAAAAGGGAAACAGCCCAAAACAAGAGUUAAGGUUCCUAAAUUAUUUGUUGAGUGAAAAUAAGAAGGUUUUUAUUAAAGUCGACAAGGAGAUAGGCUUAGAAGCAGCCAUAAUUUUAUGACCUCGUAACAGAGCGCUUGUUAAGUUAUAAAAGCAUCGAAAAUAUAACGGAUCUAAACAAUAUACCGAAACCUUGUCCAUAAAUUAAUGUAGUUUGUUAUUAUACUAUAAAGCGGCAAAUUUAUGGGGUAGCAGAACGUUGAAUUAGACUAAAUAACAAGUUUAUAAAUUUGUUAUGUUAAUUCAAGUGAGAAUGGUGACAUGAGUAACGAAAAGAAUAGUAGAUUUUGGUAAUAAGCGCUUAUUGCGAACAAUACAUUAAAUAAUAGAUCUUAUUUAAUGCUUACAAGAUCUGCUAUCCGCCUAAAGCUUAUGGUUAGAAUUAAGUAACGGCCUCUAAGCUUUUUAUCUAAAGAUUGAAGCGAUGAGAAAAUCUUUUAUUAUAAGACGACAUUUAUCUAGUGAAAAAUGUACAGGAAAUAUUAUAAUAUUGUAACCGUACCUAGAAACCGACUAUGGUAAGCUAGUAGAGUAUACGAAGGCGUAAUUGAGAUAACAAUCAUAAAGGAACUCGGCAAAUUGACUAUCGUAACUUCGGGAUAAGUAGGGCUCAUUAUUCUUGAUUAAUAUCAGGUAAAGAGGAAGAAACAUAAAAUAAUGUUGUACGACUGUUUAAUUAAAACACAGCACUUUGCUUAAAGAUUAAAAAUCUAUGUAUAAAGUGUGAUAUCUGCCCGGUGCCGGCUGGCUAACAGAGAUAAUUGAAUAUAUUACUAUUUGAUGUCGACGGAAGCCCCGGUUAAAGGCGGCCUUAACGUGAGGGUCCUAAGGUAGCGAAAUGCCUUGGCCGUUAAAUGCGGUCUUGCAUGAAUGGUGUAACGAUACAACAGCUGUCUCUAUGAUUGACUCAGUGAAAUUGGAAUAGCUGUGCAGAUACAGCUUACCUCUAGUUAGACGAGAAGACCCUAUGCAGCUUUACUGUCACUAAUAAUAGAUUUUGAUGAAAAAUUUUCAGACUAAAAGGGAAUUGAUUAAAUAUUCAUGAGAAACCUUUAUUUUUAUUCUUCAUUUGAAUGAAUUGAUAUACCAAUAGGUAUAUCAUCCUAGUUCAGCCUAGAUUCUUAUGCGCAAGCUAUUAUUAAGAAACAGGUACCCUUGGAGAGGAACUAUUACUAGGGGACAGUUUAUGUGGGGCACAGACCCUGUAAAGAGUAAACAGGUGUGUCUAAUAAUUAUUUUUAUUUUGUUUGCUAUUUUUAUAUAAAUCGUAUUGACUUUGAUAUAAUUGUAUUAUAUGCUUAGUAAGCUAUAUAAUUAUAUUUAUAUUGAAAAUUUAGGUAAGAUUUUGACUAUACUGAAAUUAGAGAUAAUUUAAAUUUUUAUGUGAUAUGUUUAUUAUUACUAAAUUUUUAUAGUUACUUAAAACACUGUAGGUUUUACUAUUUUUUAUUAAAAAAUAGCAAGCUAUAGUUAGUAAUUAUGUUUUUAAUAUCUAAAAAGCUCAACGGCUUAAUCUUGCCUUACUGUUUGAUUAUCAACAGGCUAAUUUGCGCAAGAGUGUACAAAAUGAGUGCGCGGUUUGGCACCUCGAUGUCGGCUUAACUUAUCCUCAUGGAUGCAGAAACUAUGUAGGGUGCGACUGUUCGUCGAUUAAAAAGUUACAUGAGCUGGGUUAAAUACGUCGUGAGACAGUAUGGUUUCUAUCUUCUAGAGGGAAUUAGAAUAAAAUAAGAACGAACUUUUGUACGAAAGGAACAAGAAUGAUUUAAGGUUAUAGGCUUUGCUUAUAACUAAAUAAAUUAUAGUUACUAACCUAUGGUUUACCUGUUGUUUAUAUGCCCUGUUAUUAAAUAUAUAGAUAGAAUAAUAUAUUUAUUGAUUAGUAUUUAGUUAUAAAUAUUUAUAUUUAGAUCAAUACGGUACUAAUUCAGUAGAUACUGCUAUUUAUAUAGAUGUAUAUUAAUAUAUACAAAGGAUGUAUCGUUCGCUAGGAUAAUAUAUUAUAUAAGCACGGCAGGAAAGCUAAGUUGGUUAAGGAUAAGUGCUGAAAGCAUAUAGGCACGAAGCUUAUCUUAAGAUAUUUCUUAAAUAUAUGUAUUAGAAUAAUACACAAUAGGCUUUCUUUGUAAGAAUCUAGAGAUUUGUAAGAUGAAAGUACUAAUUUUAUAAAUUACUAUGUAUAUAUAUAUCA